GGGCCUGUAGCGCAAUGGACAGCGCACUCGGCUUCGGACCGAGCGGUUGUGGGUUCGAGUCCCUCCAGGCUCA
rnacentral:tRNA from 10 species